UACGAAGGGGGCUAGCGUUGUUCGGAAUUACUGGGCGUAAAGCGCACGUAGGCGGCUUUGCAAGUCAGAGGUGAAAGCCCGGGGCUCAACCCCGGAAUUGCCUUUGAGACUGCAUCGCUAGAAUUGUGGAGAGGUAAGUGGAAUUCCGAGUGUAGAGGUGAAAUUCGUAGAUAUUCGGAAGAACACCAGUGGCGAAGGCGACUUACUGGACACAUAUUGACGCUGAGGUGCGAAAGCGUGGGGAGCAAACAGG
rnacentral:rRNA from 1 species